rnacentral:rRNA from 1 species
UCUGCUGAAAGAGUCUUCGGACAAUGGAUGUAGAGGAAAGUGGCGGACGGGUGAGUAACGCGUGAGGAACCUGCCUUGAAGAGGGGGACAACAGUUGGAAACGACUGCUAAUACCGCAUGACGCAUAGGGGUCGCAUGAUCUUUAUGCCAAAGAUUUAUCGCUUCAAGAUGGCCUCGCGUCUGAUUAGCUAGUUGGCGGGGUAACGGCCCACCAAGGCGACGAUCAGUAGCCGGACUGAGAGGUUGAACGGCCACAUUGGGACUGAGAUACGGCCCAGACUCCUACGGGAGGCAGCAGUGGGGAAUAUUGGGCAAUGGGCGCAAGCCUGAACCCAGCAAGCGCCGCGUGAAGGAAGAAGGCUUUCGGGUUGUAAACUUCUUUUAAGAGGGAAGAGCAGAAGACGGUACCUCUAGAAUAAGCCACGGCUAACUACGUGCCAGCAGCCGCGGUAAUACGUAGGUGGCAAGCGUUGUCCGGAUUUACUGGGUGUAAAGGGCGUGCAGCCGGGUCUGCAAGUCAGAUGUGAAAUCCAUGGGCUCAACCCCAUGAACUGCAUUUGAAACUGUAGAUCUUGAGUGUCGGAGGGGCAAUCGGAAUUCCCUAGGNNUGUAGCGGUGAAAUGCGUAGAUAUUAGGAGGAACACCAGUGGCGAAGGCGGAUUGCUGGACGAUAACUGACGGUGAGGCGCGAAAGUGUGGGGAGC